AGUAAGUUAUAAACUCGAGAAUCACCUACACUUAUUUGGCCAUUGACAGAAUCAUCUCUAAUUCGGAUAUAUGAAAGUACAACUUCCGGGCGGCAACAUAGAACAGAGACAAGAAAACGCAAAAAACAUAACUACUAAAGCAUUUAAAUGAUUUUUAUUAUACGACCGCAAAAAAAUUUUACGGUCGUAUAUUGGUAUGACGUUGGCGUCGUCGUCGUCGUCCGAAGACACAUUAGUUUUCGCACUCUAACUUUAGUUUAAGUGAAUGGAUCUCUAUGAAAUUUUACCAUAAGGUUCAAUACCACAAAAGGAAGGUUGGGAUUGAUUUUGGGGGUUAUGGUACCAACAGUAAAGGAAUUAGGUGCCAAAAAUAAGCAUUUUUGUAACUUCCAGACAUAACUUGUGUGUUAGUGUAUGGAUCUCUCUGACAUUGUACCACAAGGUUCCAUAUCACAAAAGGAAUGCUGGGAUUGAUUUUGGGGGUAAUUGCCUCAAAAUUAUAGGAAUUAGGGGCCAAAAAAGGGGCAAAAAACAAGCAUUUUUCUAGUUUCAUGACUAUAACUUGUGUGUAAGUAUAUGGAUCUUUCUGAAAUUGUACUACAAGGUUCCAUAUCACAAAGGGAAAGCUGGGUUUGAGUUUGGGGGUAAUUGCCCUAAACGUUUAGGAAUUUGGGGCCAAAAAGGGGCCAAAAAACACAUUUUUCUAGUUUCCAGACAAUAACUUGUGUUCAAGUGUAUGGAUCUCUCUGAAAUUGUACUGCAAGGUACCAUACCACAAAGGGAAGGUGAGGAUUAAGUUUGGGGGUGAUGAAUCAUAAGGGGGUUCAAAAAAUUUGGGGGGGGGAUUUUUUUUUUUUUCCUUUUUUUUUUCUUUUAAAAUUUUCCAUUUUAAGUUGGUUAUUUCUGAUUUAUAUUUAAAAGCAAAUAAUAAUGAUAUGGUAGGAGAUACACACCAAACAGGAUGUGUAAAUUAUUAUAUAAUAAGUAUUGUGCAAUAGCAAGAAAUUUUCAAUUGCACAGUAUUGCACAAUAGCAAGAAAUCUUCAAUUGCACAGUAUUGCGCAAUAGCAAGAAAUCUUCAAUUG